rnacentral:rRNA from 1 species
AGAAGAGUGGCGAACGGGUGAGUAACACGUGGGUAACCUGCCCAUCAGAAGGGGAUAACACUUGGAAACAGGUGCUAAUACCGUAUAACAAUCAAAACCGCAUGGUUUUGAUUUGAAAGGCGCUUUCGGGUGUCGCUGAUGGAUGGACCCGCGGUGCAUUAGCUAGUUGGUGAGGUAACGGCUCACCAAGGCCACGAUGCAUAGCCGACCUGAGAGGGUGAUCGGCCACAUUGGGACUGAGACACGGCCCAAACUCCUACGGGAGGCAGCAGUAGGGAAUCUUCGGCAAUGGACGAAAGUCUGACCGAGCAACGCCGCGUGAGUGAAGAAGGUUUUCGGAUCGUAAAACUCUGUUGUUAGAGAAGAACAAGGAUGAGAGUAACUGUUCAUCCCUUGACGGUAUCUAACCAGAAAGCCACGGCUAACUACGUGCCAGCAGCCGCGGUAAUACGUAGGUGGCAAGCGUUGUCCGGAUUUAUUGGGCGUAAAGCGAGCGCAGGCGGUUUCUUAAGUCUGAUGUGAAAGCCCCCGGCUCAACCGGGGAGGGUCAUUGGAAACUGGGAGACUUGAGUGCAGAAGAGGAGAGUGGAAUUCCAUGUGUAGCGGUGAAAUGCGUAGAUAUAUGGAGGAACACCAGUGGCGAAGGCGGCUCUCUGGUCUGUAACUGACGCUGAGGCUCGAAAGCGUGGGGAGCAAACA